GUCCCGAUAGUAUAAACAUUACUUUGGUCUUGUAAACCAAAAAUGAAGAACAAUUCUUCUCAGGACA
rnacentral:tRNA from 1 species